rnacentral:lncRNA from 1 species
UAUAAUGAACAGGAGGGUCUCAUAUAUUGAAUCAAAUAUGUUGCAUUACAAAGAACACGAUCCAGAGAUUACAAGAUGUGAAACUAUCUAGUAGUAGCCGAAUUCUCGACCUUGCCAUCAACUAUAUAUUUGAAAUGUUGUCUUGAAAAUUACAUUCUAAUUAUCUAGUAGUAGCCCCAUUCUCAUCCUUGCAAUCAACAUUGGAGCCAUGCAUCAUCCAGUUUAUCUUGGCAAUCUACAAAAAUAAAUAAAUGAGAUGAGUAACUUACUCUAGAGAAAAUCAGGUUCAACAUUAACUAUGUCAAACAUAAAAAUAUUUUUGGGGAUCAACAUGUACAUCCGAUGACAUAUUUAAAUGAAAUACAGUCAACAUUUUUCUACCCACUAUAUUCUCCUCAUAAAUCCAAGCGACAACUAUAAAAACAAAUGCUGAAUUUUGAUAAAGUGCCAUUUAUCAAAUGAAGGUACAUAACUAAAUUUCAUCAUAUGUGAUUCAAACCAAACCAAUUUCUACGAACAAGUUAAAAAGGAACAAUAUAGGCAUUAAGUAUACUCUACUACAUACAGUUAUACAUCUAGAUGUCAUGUGUCCUAGUGCAAUUCUAUCAUGAAUUAUGUACUCGCUAUGAUUUGUGAGUUAUGUGAAGGUCACAUCUAAGUGCAUUUUGAGUUAACUUCUCCUGUCUCACUACUUUUGCUCCAUUGGAAUUCUUCCUACCCACUCAAUGGUUAAAUUUUAAUACAACAGUAUCAAGGCAAUUUUAGUAGUAUAACAAUGCAAAAAUUAGUCACAAGAUAGUUUAGUAAAACAAGGUAAAUUUUAGUACAAAAUUGAUAUACUAAACUUUAGUACAAGAAGUCUAACUAUGUUGACCAAAUGGGAUAUUAGCCUCUGUAAGCUAAAAGACCCUUAGCAACUCCGUAUUCAACUGUACAAAUAAGUUUGUAUAAUAUUUAGAUAAACAUAAAAUUUAUAGGGAACGCUAGAAGAUAUCAGAUGUAGCAUUGCAUCAAAAUAGCAUUAGUAGUACUGCAGAUAGAGAAAUUACACACUUCUUUGCUCAAAUAUCAUCAGCACAUGCGCUUACAGAACAUAUUUGAGAUAUUUGUUAUUUCUGCAUCAGUGCGCGCGUACGAAAGACGUUAAUAUUUGAGAGCAAGCCAAAAGAAGUUAUACAAAAUGUCAGUACAGAGAUCACACCACAGUUCACCUCGGCCUCGACCUUUUCUUUUCUAUAUUGGGAAAUCGCAUUGUAAUCUAUAAACCAAACUAGCGUUGUGAAACCAUCUUCAAUUUAUUAAAGAUGCUUUGCAUUUAAAAUAGCUCAAUACGGUUUACUAUGCAAAGUAGGGUGAAUUACCUUGAGCAUAUUGAUGUUUAUAUCAACUCCUAAUCUGGGAAAUUGAUAGAUGAAGAACCAGUGAGACAUCAAUAUUUCAUGAUCUUGUGAAUAAUUAGAUGUCGAUUGAAGAAAAGUUGGGAGCCAGCAACAUGUAGAACCACAAGUUCUGAUAAGAGUAAUUGGAGAAAGGUGAAAUCAAUCUUACAGGGUUCUGGCUCAUGCACUGAAACAAUACAAGAAACAACAAAACGUGUUAUAGUCAUAGUAUACCAUAGUUCCUACAUCAAGUAACAACACCAUCUUAAAUCCUAGGGGAACACAGAACCUUGCAACCUAAGAAAUCUGUACCAUAGUUUUCUCUCGCCAUGUUGGCACUGAUCGAGGGC